CCCGCCCGGGCCCGGGGCGCUACCUCGGCCCGGCGUCCUGCCGCCCCGCUUCUCCGCGCCCCGCACCCGGGGACAGCCGGGCGGGGCACGGAGGACACUUCCAACCUUCUCGUCCAGAGGAAGGGACUGUGGGGCGCCCCCCUCCCCGCCCCCACCCUGGGGAAAUGAAAGUGACGCCAGCGGGUGUUCGACGGAGCGUCGGGGCCGUCUGGGGUUCUGAGUGGAUUCCAGCUUCUUUGGGCAGCAGGGGCGCGCCCCCAACCCCACUCUUGCCCAGCGUCGGUCUCCCCCGGUCCGGGAGUCGUGCGCUAGGUGGGGGGUGGCGUGGAUUUUCAGGCACAGCGCGGCUUGCUCUGGAAAAAUGCCCCGGUGCGUGGAUGGAUUCAGAACCCGGGGAUGAAGUCAGUGGUUAAAUACGACCGGGUUCCAGAGUUUUUAAACUUGGCUUCCUGAUUUGGAACAUAAUUCAAUGAACAGGCAGGCAACUGCUUGUCAAGUUCAGGCAUCAGGCAGAAAUCUAAGGACCCCACCGAAGAGGAAGCAGGAGAGGACAUGAGAGAAAGAAACUGUAUUCACCAACCCAUUUCGGGAAAGCGUCUCUCAUUCUUCUUAGACUCCACCAUCAGAAAAGUCAACAGUUUGUAAUAAGUAAAUUUGAAUCCGGGUUUUCUGUUUCUUUAAUGCCCGUCCUGGCUUGACCUUGCAGCUUGACAAAGUCCCAAAGGAAAAGUAAAAAUCAACAACUAAAUCAAAAUCAAAUCAGGUCCUCCCUGAAAAAAAAAAAAAAAAAAAAACAUUCUGAGAGAUUGGAAGUAAACAGUUCUUCCCACAGUCCCAACUCCAUGACCUAAAUGCCAUCAUCAUUCCAAAAGGCAUUUCCAAAAGACACAGGAACAUCCAGGGCAGAGAAGCGGGUGUGUGGUCUCCCUCCUAUCUCUACUUAUAAAUUGGCUUAAUAUUUAAGUUAUCUGCCUGCAUGUAGCAUCUAUUAACCAUUGCACCAAGCAAGAUUUGCAGACUCGCUCCUUAU